AUUGAACGCUGGCGGCAGGCUUAACACAUGCAAGUCGAGCGAGCGGCGGACGGGUGAGUAAUGUCUGGGAAACUGCCUGAUGGAGGGGGAUAACUACUGGAAACGGUAGCUAAUACCGCAUACCAUCAGAUGUGCCCAGAUGGGAUUAGCUAGUAGGUGGGGUAAUGGCUCACCUAGGCGACGAUCCCUAGCUGGUCUGAGAGGAUGACCGGCCACACUUGAACGAAGACACGGUCCAGACUCCUACGGGAGGCAGCAGUGGGGAAUUGUGCACAAUGUGCGCAAGCCUGAUGGAGCCAUGCCGCGUGAGUGAAGAAGGCCUUCGGUUUGUAAAGCACUUUAGGCGGGGAGGCUUUACCCACAGAAGAAGCACGGGCUAACUCGGUGCCAGCAGCCGCGGUAAUAC
rnacentral:rRNA from 1 species